rnacentral:rRNA from 1 species
UGCGAGUUUUUGUAGUAAUACAAGGCAUACGGCUCAGUAACACGUAGUCAACCUACCCUAUGGACGAGGAUAAUCUCGGGAAACUGAGCAUAAUACUCGAUAGAUCAUAAUGCCUGGAAUGGUUUAUGGUUGAAAUGAUUCGUUCGCCAUAGGAUGGGACUGCGGCCUAUCAGCUUGUUGGUGAGGUAAUGGCCCACCAAGGCGAUUACAGGUACGGGCUCUGAGAGGAGAAGCCCGGAGAUGGGUACUGAGACAAGGACCCAGGCCCUAUGGGGCGCAGCAGGCGAGAAAACUUUGCAAUGUGCGAAAGCACGACAAGGUUAGUCCGAGUGAUUUCUGCUAAAGAGAUCUUUUGCAAGUUCUAAAACCACUAGUGAAUAAGGGGUGGGCAAGUUCUGGUGUCAGCCGCCGCGGUAAAACCAGCACCUCGAGUGGUCAGGAGGAUUACUGGGCCUAAAGCAUCCGUAGCCGGCUCUGUAAGUUUUCGGUUAAAUCCAUGCGCUCAACGCAUGGGCUGCCGAAAAUACUGCAGAGCUAGGGAGUGGGAGAGGUAGACGGUACUCGGUAGGAAGGGG